GACGAACGCUGGCGGCGUGCUUAACACAUGCAAGUCGAACGGAAAGGCCCCUUUGGGGGUAGUCGAGUGGCGAACGGGUGAGUAACACGUGAGUAACCUGCCCUUGACUUCGGGAUAACUUCAGGAAACUGGGGCUAAUACCGGAUAGGAAUCCUUGCUGCAUGGUGGGGGUUGGAAAGCUUCGGCGGUUUUGGAUGGACUCGCGGCUUAUCAGCUUGUUGGUGGGGUAGUGGCUUACCAAGGCUUUGACGGGUAGCCGGCCUGAGAGGGCGACCGGCCACAUUGGGACUGAGAUACGGCCCAGACUCCUACGGGAGGCAGCAGUGGGGAAUAUUGCACAAUGGGCGGAAGCCUGAUGCAGCAACGCCGCGUGCGGGAUGACGGCCUUCGGGUUGUAAACCGCUUUCAGCAGGGGCGAAGCUUGUGGUGACGGUACCUGCAGAAGAAGCACCGGCUAACUACGUG
rnacentral:rRNA from 1 species